rnacentral:rRNA from 1 species
AUUGAACGCUGGCGGAAUGCUUUACACAUGCAAGUCGAACGGCAGCACGGACUUCGGUCUGGUGGCGAGUGGCGAACGGGUGAGUAAUAUAUCGGAACGUAUCCAAUAAUGGGGGAUGACUAAUCGAAAGGAUGGCUAAUACCGCAUACGUCCUACGGUAGAAAGCUAGGGAACUUCGGGCCUGACGUUAAUGGAGCGGCCGAUAUAGGAUUAUCUAGUUGGUGAGGUAAAGGCUCACCAAGGCGACGAUCCGUAGCUGGUCUGAGAGGACGACCAGCCACACUGGAACUGAGACACGGUCCAGACUCCUACGGGAGGCAGCAGUGGGGAAUUUUGGACAAUGCGCGAAAGCCUGAUCCAGCCAUUCCGCGUGAGUGAAGAAGGCCUUCGGGUUGUAAAGCUCUUUCGCAAGAGAAGAAAACUUACCCUCUAACAUAGGGUGAGGUUGACGGUAUCUUGAUAAGAAGCACCGGCUAACUACGUGCCAGCAGCCGCCGUAA